AUUCAUAAAAAUCUCGGUCGAAUUUUUGGACAAUUACAAUACUUUCCCUAUACUUUGUAUACGAGAAAGUAAAAUCUAUGGACAUUUGAAAAAGGCCCAUUGACCAAAGCUGUAAGUGCAUCUACAGCAUGAAAUAGACAUCGCGAUUGUCAUACGUAUUCAUACAUUACUUCUAAGAACAUUACCUUAGUUUUGUGGGUAUGACAUUGUCUCCAGUUCUGACAGCUCAUCGGGACAGCUUAGCUACUAGCUAAACAAACCAGCCCGAUGGAGUGAAUGGUCCACUCUCAUUUAAUGUGUUUCAGUCUUUGCUUCUCCAGAUGCUCCCGCGUUGUCCGCGCUGUAUAUUUCAGGUCAUUUCUCUUACUUUAAGGUAAACCAUCGCUCCACUGUAAAGGGGUUAUGCACUCUAGAGGUUUUUCUCCAAGGACCUCUUGGCAGUUGGCCUCAUUCAUCUUUCCCUCAAUUCUGUUGAAUGUCCCUGUCCCAACACCCUCAUAGCUUGAUACUUUCACCUUAGGUAUUUGGUAGAUAGUGAGUGGUGCCUGCUCCUCUCCGGACGCAGUGCUUUCAGUUAAGAUCUUUGCCAUUUUUGUCUCGUCAGACUAGAGAAUCUUUUUCCUCCUGCUCUCGGAGUCCUUUAAAGUGUCAUUAAAGCCUUUUCCUCAAGAGUGGCAUCCAUCCAGCCACUGUGCCGUAAAUACCUGCUUGAUGGAGCGUUGUUAAGGUGCACAUCCUUCCAACAGAUACUUGCAUAUCAGCAGAGGACUUCUGAAGCUCGGUUAGAGUGAACAUUGGGUUCUCUGUCACUUCCCCUACCAAGACUCUUCUUGCUUGGUUACUCAGUGUGGCCUGAUAGCCAACUCUUAGAAGAGUUCUUGUGGUUCCUGCCUUCUUCCAUUUCACAAUUCUUUGACGGUAUUGUGCUCUUGGGAACAUACAAAUGGUUGUACCCCCUUGCCCUGAUCUGUACCUCGCCACAGUUUGUUUUGUGGAGGUCUAAAGAGACGUCCUUGAGCUUCAUGGCUUGGUUUUUAUCCUAACAUACCAUGUGAGUUGUGGAGCCUUCUGCACACAGGUACACAUGUGCCUUUCUAAACAAUGAUCAUUCACUUGAAUUUGCCGCAGGUGGACUCCAGUCCAGUUCUAGCUGCAUCUCAAGGAGAAGUAAAGCAGACAGGAUGCCCUUAAGCACAAUUUGUAGUGCCACAGCAAAGGUAUGAAGACGAAAGGAGAGAGUUCAGAUUUUGCACACCUUUCUGAUAACGUGGUUUAUCUUUGUCAUCAUGGGUCACGGGGUGUAGCUUGACGGGCCCAUCAAAUAUCCAUUUAAAAUGAAACCUAAAACAAAGUGAAGGAGGUCUCGAUAUUUUAUGAAUCCACUGUAGACCUGCUUCACAGGCAACAUUUGCAUUGAGCUCAAUAGUACCCUCUACUGUAGAGACCAAACAUGACGUAUCUGGCGUCAGACAUACUUACUUACUUUACUUACCCAGUAAAGAGUGUCAUGUAAAGGAGUAGAUAAUGUUGCUGUGAUACAAUAAACCAAUCUGUGUCUAAUGAGGAGUUUUGUCCCUUUUGCUAGACAAUCCUGGAAACAAACGAACUUUCUAAGCAUUUCUCAUGGCAGAGCUUGGAGAGUGAGACAGUGUAACAGUGAGGAAAAAAAAAAAAUAAGAAUAUACAACUAUGAGGAAAAACAACCAGCAGGACACAAUUUGAGUGUUGAUUGGAGAAAUUGGCAGUUAAAGACAUGGGUGGAUGUCUCUGCCUGAAGAAUUUUUAUCGACUUCUUGAAUUUUGAAGAAGACAAGUGUACAGUUCCCUAGGAAUUGUGUGUCAAGCCAGAAGCCUCCAAGACAAACACGUCUAAAUAUACUUUCCUGAGAAUGAAGAUGGUCUUUAAAAUGGUGAUUUUAAAGACGUCUUAACAAUAAAACGAGAAAGGAAACCAGCUUUUGUUUGCUACGAUGAAUGCCUGAUGGCUUAAAUAUAAAACAAGAGCACAUCAGUGAUUGCAAGAUCAAGAGUGAGACAGAACGGGAUCAGGAGCAAAGCGAUACUUUUAGGCUGGUGGAGGACUGUUCAGAGUCCACUGUUAGUACACCUGUUAACCAGAAAUCUGACUGGGAUAAAAACGAACUAUUCAAAAUUCUAAGAACGCUGAUUGUGGAAGUGAUAUGGAAAAUAGAAGUAUGACAGCAUGGUGUGUCUGGAGUAGUACAAUGCCAAAAUUAAUAAUUAUAAUAAUAAUUCUUUACAUUUACUGUAUAUAGUGCUUUUCUCACUACUCGGAGCGCUUUAGUGACUGUGCAGCCACCACUAAUGCGAAGCAUCCACCUGGAUGAUGCGACGGCAGCCAUUUUUGUGCCAGUUCGCUCAACUUACAUUAGCUGUUAGGUGGUGAAGCGGUGAGAGAGAUAACCAAUUAGAGACCGGGAAUGAUUAAGGUUGCAGAAUGACUAGGCCAGGACAUCGGGAUACACUCUGCUCUUUACGAAGGAUGCCCGGGGAUCUUUCAUGACCACAGAGAGUGUCAGGACCUCGGUUUUAUGUCUCAGCUGAAGGACGUCACCAUUUGUACAUCACAGUGUCCCCAUCACUGUACUGGGGCAUUGGAAUCCACAUUCAGACCACAGGGUAAGCGCCCCCUGCUGGCCUCACCAACACCUCUUCCAGCAGCAACCCAAGCUUUUCCUAGAUGGUCUUCCAUCCAAGCAUUGGCCAGGCCUGAAAACGCUUCGCUUCAGAUUUGAAAACACAAUGGGAGGUCUGGAACUUGGUAGUAAACCUUAUAAGAAGGACCAGCGGCUCAUAGCAGACUCAUUACUAUCUUCAUCAGGGAUCUCAAACUCCAGUCCUGGAGGGCUGCAGUGGCUGCAGAACUGAAACAUGAAGUGAGUGAGCCAACAGGAGACCA